rnacentral:rRNA from 1 species
UACGGAGGAUGCGAGCGUUAUCCGGAUUUAUUGGGUUUAAAGGGUGCGUAGGCGGAUUGAUAAGUCAGUGGUGAAAUUCUACAGCUUAACUGUAGACUUGCCGUUGAUACUGUUAGUCUUGAGUGUGGUCAAGGCAGGCGGAACGUGUAAUGUAGCGGUGAAAUGCUUAGAUAUUACACAGAACACCGAUUGCGAAGGCAGCUUGCUGGGUCAUUACUGACGCUGAUGCACGAAAGCGUGGGGACCAAACAGGAUUA